rnacentral:rRNA from 1 species
AUUGAACGCUGGCGGCAUGCCUUACACAUGCAAGUCGAACGGCAGCGGACCUUCGGGUGCCGGCGAGUGGCGAACGGGUGAGUAAUAUAUCGGAACGUACCUUUCAGUGGGGGAUAACGUAGCGAAAGUUACGCUAAUACCGCAUAUUCUGUGAGCAGGAAAGCAGGGGAUCGCAAGACCUUGCGCUGAUUGAGCGGCCGAUAUCAGAUUAGCUAGUUGGUGAGGUAAAGGCUCACCAAGGCGACGAUCUGUAGCGGGUCUGAGAGGAUGAUCCGCCACACUGGAACUGAGACACGGUCCAGACUCCUACGGGAGGCAGCAGUGGGGAAUUUUGGACAAUGGGCGCAAGCCUGAUCCAGCCGUGCCGCGUGAGUGAAGAAGGCCUGG